GUACUGGCCACUACGACCGCACUAUCUCUUUUCUGUUUUUCUUCUCAGAUGGACGGUGCCCCGCCAAGUGCGGCUGUCGGCGUCAUCUACGCCGACGAGAAGCCGUCGCGCCGCGCCGUUUCCAUCAGCUCCGUAGACUCGGAGCCGAUUGUGCGGGCGGCCUCUGCGCGGUCUGUCGCGUCCUCCGCCUCGCAUGAGGGCGGAGGCAGAGCACCGCGAGGUUGGCUUGCCUCCGAAGGCGAUGACGUACCAUUAGACGACGCCGGGAUGGCUGACGCAACCCUUGUACUUCCUAUCAGGCAGAUUUCAGAGGCCCCAGUGGCGGUGGUCAGCGCCAUCUCGGCAGCAAGCCGCUCGUGCGUUGCGGAAGCCGUUCCCCAGACACUCCCAAUGGACGUCGGAACGCGGCUGUGCCUGUCUGAUGGCACGUUUGUCGGCUAUGUCUCCUCAGUGCUCGGGCCGGUCAAGCAAGCCUUCUACGUAGUGAAGUCGACGCGCGAUGACUUUCACGAGCUGAUAGGUGAUCACCGUCUCGCAGAGGCGGUCCCACUUCACUAUGAUCUCCACCAUCCACAAAUCAUGUACGACCCCUUCGAGCAGUGCGAUGCCGCCAAAGGCACUGACGCCAGCUACAUCAACGACGAGGAACUUCCCGAGUACGUCCGUCCCGACUUUUCGGACGACGAGAAAGAGAUGGAGUGGAAGCGGCAAAAGCGUCGCCGCGGUGACGACAACGAAAGCAUCAGCUCCGACGAGAUGCAGGUGGAUAUCGAGUGGUCCAAAUUGCAGCUCGAUGAGGAUGCCGUGCCGUGUGGAGAUCCACAUGUGGUGAUUCCGCAGUGGAUUCGAAGCGCGCCACGAUGAAGCGGGCACGCCAAUGCACGUGACGGCGGGGUACUUGAUUUCGCGUAAACGACACAGACGCCUUUCGCAGAUACGGCGCCUUGCAGGAUAACAAGACUCACUACUCCCAUGUCGAGCCCUUUUUUUGUUGUUGUUGCACUUUGAACUGCGGCGCAGCAGAACGCGGGACGUGGAAUGCUCUCGCUGGAUAGAAGGUGAGCUUGCCACGGCGUGGUGGUCAAUACUCAGCCAUUCCUGCUGCGCGCACACCCACGAGGGCCCGCGACACGGCAUCGCUUCUCGUCCAGUGACGACAGACGCACAAGUGCACAACCUCCCACUCCUCCUCUCUGAUUCUGGCUCUCGAUUGAUCUCCCUCGCCUUCAG
rnacentral:misc_RNA from 1 species